AAAAUAUUAAAGGGUGUUAUGGGCAAAAAUGACACAAAGUAGAUAUUAGUCUAGAGGGACAUAGCAUCAGCGAGCAAGAUGAAAAUAACCAUCAUCAAUCACGCAGAACAGUCCCGUAGUGGUCAUCAAUCUUUCUUUCUGAAUAUAUCUUGUGCUUAUCUAGUUGUAAAGUUGGCAUAUUGUUAUUGUUUCAUAGGUUUGAAAGCGAGCCCAACAGAAUCCAAAGGGAAUAUGAGGAUCUUUUCUUGCAAUAUGAAACCGAGGUAAUACCUUGUCCUUCUCAACAUCAGUAGCUUGUGUUUUCUGUUUCUUAUUACUCUGCACCUUCCAAU
rnacentral:lncRNA from 1 species